UGAGGAAUAUUGGUCAAUGGGCGAGAGCCUGAACCAGCCAAGUAGCGUGCAGGAUGACGGCCCUAUGGGUUGUAAACUGCUUUUGUUUGGGAAUAAUCGACAUUACGUGUAAUGUUUUGCAUGUACCAUUCGAAUAAGGACCGGCUAAUUCCGUGCCAGCAGCCGCGGUAAUACGGAAGGUCCAGGCGUUAUCCGGAUUUAUUGGGUUUAAAGGGAGUGUAGGCGGUUGGUUAAGCGUGUUGUGAAAUGUAGAUGCUCAACAUCUGACUUGCAGCGCGAACUGGCUGACUUGAGUACACACAACGUAGGCGGAAUUCAUGGUGUAGCGGUGAAAUGCUUAGAUAUCAUGACGAACUCCGAUUGCGAAGGCAGCUUACGGGAGCGCAACUGACGCUAAAGCUCGAAGGUGCGGGUAUCGAACAGG
rnacentral:rRNA from 1 species